ACAGGUUUGCGCCUGUAUAAAUAGACAUUAAGCGCAAAGCGUCCCGCAAUUGUUGCGGGGGUUGUA
rnacentral:ribozyme from 13 species